rnacentral:piRNA from 1 species
UGGUGCUAGAGGAGCUGAGAGUUCUAUGU